GAUGAAGAACGCAGCGAAAUGCGAUAAGUAAUGUGAAUUGCAGAAUUCAGUGAAUCAUCGAAUCUUUGAACGCACAUUGCGCCCGCCAGUUUUCUGGCGGGCAUGCCUGUUCGAGCGUCAUUUCAACCAUCAAGCCCCAGGCUUGUGUUGGGGACCUGCGGCUGCCGCAGGCCCUGAAAACCAGUGGCGGGCUCGCUGUCACACCGGGCGUAGUAGAUUUUAUCUCGCUCAGGGCGUGCUGCGGGUUCCGGCCGUUAAAAAGCCUUUUUUACCCAAGGUUGACCUCGGAUCAGGUAGGAAGACCCGCUGAACUUAAGCAUAUCAAUAAGCGGAGGA
rnacentral:misc_RNA from 1 species